CCUGCACCGUCUUCAAGACUCCCCUUUAAGCUUCGUCUGCUAGGAGAUAGCAAGAAUGCCGCGAGGGAAGUCUCAUCGCCGCUCCCAGGCGAUGAAGCGGAGAGUGGCAGAGCAGCUUGCUGUUCCUGUGCGCUCUCUGCUGGCUAGGGAGGACGUCCCCACACGGCGUGGCACCGGUUACCGUCACCGUGUGGGGCAAUGGCGAAUCUCCCCCUUCACCGGG